GUUCUUCAGGCUCGCCAAGUAGCUAGGGUAGUUCCGUUUCCAAUGGCCAUCUUUGUUAUAGUGGAAAUAUUUUUUUUCUCAAUAAUCUUCUUUUUCAGAACAUCCUUCUUCGGCUUGUUCUCAACCUUCUGCUUCUUCAUAGACUUUUUCUUCUUUCUGAUAGACUUUUUCUUGGAAAAAGUUUGCUCCAUAACAAGAAUAGAGUCCUUUGAACUCUUUAAGGUUUCCUCAGUUGUCACCAGCAUGUUCACUAACUCGGUAUUGGUGCAUUGGAUCUUGUUCAUAUAAAAGUUUACAAUAAACUGUGCAUAUGAAUCAGUAAGAAACUACAGAAUGAGGUCAAUCUGCAACUCUUUAUCCAUAGACAUUUCAAGCUUCUUAAACUCCUCCAAACCUUUGAUCAUUGUCAAACAAUGCUUGUGGACCGACUGUCGAUCAUGCAUUUUCACUUUGAAGAGUUGCUUAGACACUUUGUAGUGGAGUGCGCAGCUCUGCUCACCAUACAACUCUUAUAGGUGAGUCAGAAUAUAUCUGACAGUCUUUAUGUCUUCAUGUUGGUGCUGUAAUUCAUUAGACAUUGAGGCCAACACGUAGCAUUUGACUUUAUUAUCAUCAUCCAAUCACUUCUUAUAAGACACUCUCUGUUCAGUGGUCGGAUGAGCUG
rnacentral:lncRNA from 1 species